UUGGAGGGCAAGUCUGGUGCCAGCAGCCGCGGUAAUUCCAGCUCCAAUAGCGUAUAUUAAAGUUGUUGCAGUUAAAAAGCUCGUAGUUGAAUUUCGGGAUCAAUGUUUCGGUCAUGCCGUUGGUAUGUACUGAUAUUAUUGGUUUCUCACCUUCUAAAGAACCGUAAUGCCAUUAAUUUGGUGUCACGGGGAAUUAGGACUGUUACCUUGAAAAAAUUAGAGUGUUUAAAGCAGGCUCACGCUUGAAUACAUUAGCAUGGAAUAAUGAAAUAGGACAUCCGAUUCUAUUUUGUUGGUUUCUAGGAUCGAUGUAAUGAUUAAUAGGGAUAGUUGGGGGCAUUAGUAUUCAAUUGCCAGAGGUGAAAUUCUUGGAUUUAUUGAAGACUAACUACUGCGAAAGCAUUUGCCAAGGAUGUUUUCAUUAAUCAAGAACGAAAGUUAGGGGAUCGAAGACGAUCAGAUACCGUCGUAGUCUUAACCAUAAACUAUGCCGACUAGGGAUCGGAUGAUGUUAAUUUUUUAAUGACUCAUUCGGCGCCUUACGGGAAACCAAAGUGUUUGGGUUC
rnacentral:rRNA from 1 species